CCUACGGGAGGCAGCAGUGAGGAAUAUUGGUCAAUGGACGAGAGUCUGAACCAGCCAAGUAGCGUGAAGGAUGACUGCCCUAUGGGUUGUAAACUUCUUUUAUAUGGGAAUAAAAUGUUCCACGUGUGGGAUUUUGUAUGUACCAUAUGAAUACGGAUCGGCUAACUCCGUGCCAGCAGCAGCGGUAAUACGGAGGAUCCGAGCGUUAUCCGGAUUUAUUGGGUUUAAAGGGAGCGUAGGUGGAUUGUUAAGUCAGUUGUGAAAGUUUGCGGCUCAACCGUAAAAUUGCAGUUGAAACUGUCAGUCUUGAGUACAGUAGAGGUGGGCGGAAUUCGUGGUGUAGCGGUGAAAUGCUUAGAUAUCACGAAGAACUCCGAUUGCGAAGGCAGUUCACUGGACUGCAACUGACACUGAGGCUCGAAAGUGUGGGUAUCAAACAGGAUUAGAUACCCUUGUAGUC
rnacentral:rRNA from 1 species